rfam:Danio rerio chromosome 5, GRCz11 reference primary assembly.
UAGAGCAGCUAGCUCUCUGCAACUCUCACAUGGUCGCCCACUGAAGCUAAGCAGGGCUGCGCCCGGUCAGUACCUGGAUGGGAGACCACAUGGGAAAACUAGGUUGUUGCCGGAA